UGUGAAGUUACUUAAACAACCAGGAGGUUGGCUUAGAAGCAGCCAUCCUUUAAAGAAAGCGUAAUAGCUCACUGGUCUAGUGAUUUUGCGCGGAAAAUAUAACGGGGCUAAAGUAAGUACCGAAGCUGUAGACUUAGUUUACUAAGUGGUAGGAGAGCGUUCUAUUUGCGUCGAAGGUAUACCGGUAAGGAGUGCUGGAGCGAAUAGAAGUGAGCAUGCAGGCAUGAGUAGCGAUAAUUAAUGUGAGAAUCAUUAACGCCGUAAACCCAAGGUUUCCUACGCGAUGCUCGUCAUCGUAGGGUUAGUCGGGUCCUAAGUCGAGUCCGAAAGGGGUAGACGAUGGCAAAUUGGUUAAUAUUCCAAUACCAACAUUAGUGUGCGAUGGAAGGACGCUUAGGGCUAAGGGGGCUAGCGGAUGGAAGUGCUAGUCUAAGGUCGUAGGAGGUUGUACAGGCAAAUCCGUAUAACAAUACUCCGAGAACUGAAAGGCUUUUUGAAGUCUUCGGAUGGAUAGAAGAACCCCUGAUGCCGUCGAGCCAAGAAAAGUUUCUAAGUUUAGCUAAUGUUGCCCGUACCGUAAACCGACACAGGUGGGUGGGAUGAGUAUUCUAAGGCGCGUGGAAGAACUCUCUUUAAGGAACUCUGCAAAAUAGCACCGUAUCUUCGGUAUAAGGUGUGGUUAGCUUUGUAUUAGGAUUUACUCUGAAAGCAAGGAAACUUACAACAAAGAGUCCCUCCCGACUGUUUACCAAAAACACAGCACUCUGCUAACUCGUAAGAGGAUGUAUAGGGUGUGACGCCUGCCCGGUGCUCGAAGGUUAAUUGAUGGGGUUAGCAUUAGCGAAGCUCUUGAUCGAAGCCCGAGUAAACGGCGGCCGUAACUAUAACGGUCCUAAGGUAGCGAAAUUCCUUGUCGGUUAAAUACCGACCUGCAUGAAUGGCGUAACGAGAUGGGAGCUGUCUCAAAGAGGGAUCCAGUGAAAUUGUAGUGGAGGUGAAAAUUCCUCCUACCCGCGGCAAGACGGAAAGACCCCGUGGACCUUUACUACAGCUUGACACUGCUACUUGGAUAAGAAUGUGCAGGAUAGGUGGGAGGCUUUGAGUAUAUGACGCCAGUUGUAUAUGAGCCAUUGUUGAGAUACCACUCUUUCUUAUUUGGGUAGCUAACCAGCUUGAGUUAUCCUCAAGUGGGACAAUGUCUGGUGGGUAGUUUGACUGGGGCGGUCGCCUCCCAAAUAAUAACGGAGGCUUACAAAGGUUGGCUCAGAACGGUUGGAAAUCGUUCGUAGAGUAUAAAGGUAUAAGCCAGCUUAACUGCAAGACAUACAAGUCAAGCAGAGACGAAAGUCGGUCUUAGUGAUCCGGUGGUUCUGUGUGGAAGGGCCAUCGCUCAAAGGAUAAAAGGUACCCCGGGGAUAACAGGCUGAUCUCCCCCAAGAGCUCACAUCGACGGGGAGGUUUGGCACCUCGAUGUCGGCUCAUCGCAUCCUGGGGCUGGAGCAGGUCCCAAGGGUAUGGCUGUUCGCCAUUUAAAGCGGUACGCGAGCUGGGUUCAGAACGUCGUGAGACAGUUCGGUCCCUAUCUGCCGUGGGCGUAAGAAGAUUGAAGAGAUUUGACCCUAGUACGAGAGGACCGGGUUGAACAAACCACUGGUGUAGCUGUUGUUCUGCCAAGAGCAUCGCAGCGUAGCUAAGUUUGGAAAGGAUAAACGCUGAAAGCAUCUAAGCGUGAAGCCAACUCUAAGAUGAAUCUUCUCUAAGCUCUCUAGAAGACUACUAGUUUGAUAGGCUGGGUGUGUAAUGGAUGAAAGUCCUUUAGCUGACCAGUACUAAUAGAGCGUUUGGCUUAUCUUUAAUAAAGCAU
rnacentral:rRNA from 1 species